rnacentral:ncRNA from 1 species
UUCAACAAUCUGGGGUGCCCUUUGGCUGAGAGAUACCCAUUGAACCUGAUCUGGCUAGCACCAGCGAAGGGAGAAUUGCUUUUUUAGUAG